GACGAACGCUGGCGGCGUGCUUAACACAUGCAAGUCGAACGGAAAGGCCCUGCUCUUGUGGGGUGCUCGAGUGGCGAACGGGUGAGUAACACGUGAGUAACCUGCCCUUGACUUUGGGAUAACUUCAGGAAACUGGGGCUAAUACAGGAUAGGAGCUCCUGCUGCAUGGUGGGGGUUGGAAAGUUUCGGCGGUUGGGGCUGGACUCGCGGCUUAUCAGCUUGUUGGUGAGGUAGUGGCUUACCAAGGCUUUGACGGGUAGCCGGCCUGAGCGGGUGACCGGCGACCAUGGGACUGAGAGAGGCCGCAGACGGGUACGGGAGGCAGCAGGGGGAAGUAUUGCGGAAUGAGCGGGAGCCUGAUACAGAGGCGCCGGGUGCGGAAUGACGUCCUUCGGGUGGUAAACCGCUUUCGCAUGUGAUGAAGCGUGAGUGACGGUAAUGGGUCAAGAAGCACCGGCUAACUACGUG
rnacentral:rRNA from 1 species